AGAGUUUGAUCCUGGCUCAGAAUCAACGCUGGCGGCGCGCUUAACACAUGCAAGUCGAACGAGAAAGCGGGGGGCAACUCUCGCAAGUACAGUGGCGUACGGGUGAGUAACACGUGGGUUAUCUACCUCUUAGUGGGGAAUAACGCUGGGAAACCGGCGCUAAUACCGCAUAAUCUCGAGAGAGGAAAGCAGCAAUGCGC
rnacentral:rRNA from 1 species